UGAGAAGUUGGUGAAGAUGAGAGUAAUAGUUGAUUCUGAUUUUUGUUCGUUUUCGAAAACGCUAGGAAAAGUUUGCAGAUUAAUUUAUCUCGUUAUUGGAGUCAAAACAAAUAUGAAGUUUUAAAACCAUGUUGAAAAUGAUU
ensembl:ncRNA C31H1.96 ncRNA